rnacentral:rRNA from 1 species
GUGGGGAAUAUUGGACAAUGGGCGAAAGCCUGAUCCAGCCAUGCCGCGUGUGUGAAGAAGGUCUUCGGAUUGUAAAGCACUUUAAGUUGGGAGGAAGGGCAGUAAGUUAAUACCUUGCUGUUUUGACGUUACCGACAGAAUAAGCACCGGCUAACUUCGUGCCAGCAGCCGCGGUAAUACGAAGGGUGCAAGCGUUAAUCGGAAUUACUGGGUGUAAAGCGCGCGUAGGUGGUUUUGUAAGUUGGAGGUGAAAUCCCCGGGCUCAACCUGGGAACUGCCUCCAAAACUGCAUGACUAGAGUACGGUAGAGGGUAGUGGAAUUUCCUGUGUAGCGGUGAAAUGCGUAGAUAUAGGAAGGAACACCAGUGGCGAAGGCGACUACCUGGACUGAUACUGACACUGAGGUGCGAAAGCGUGGGGAGCAAACAGGAUUAGAAACCCUUGUAGUCC